UCCAUGCCAGCCCCUGCCCACCCUGCCAGGGAACAAUUCCUUCCCAAGAUCCCAUCCAGCCCUGCCCCGGUGGGACAAACCCAGAGCACAAGGAGCCGGCGGAGCUCAGGAGCAGCAGCGCCGGGGUUGGAGCCGAUCAUACGCCGAGCGGAUGCUCCCGCUGGCUGGGCCGGACCAGCCGCACCGGUGGCCGGAGGGACGGAAUGUGACCACGGCCGCGUCCAGGCUGCAGCUCCCCCGGCGACAGCCUGAGCUGCUCGUUUAUUUCUGAUACCGCGGUGACAUCCCCAGCGCGGGGCUGUGAGAACGGGGGAGGCUCCUGAGCAGCUGCUGUCCCCGGGGAGCCGCGGGGACACGACCCGGGCACCCUGCGCAGGGAGAAGCCUCUUCCAGCAGAUUCCUUUCCGUGCCCUCGGAAACAUCCAGCUCAACGAAGCACCUUCCCCAACACCUCCUCAGCCUUUACCUCCUGGAAAAAGGAAUUUCUGCUCCUUUCCCAGCCCCGGCAGCCGCGCUGGCAGCGGGGGAUGCGCAGCCGAGCCACGCUCGCCCCGGUCCCCGCGCCCGCGGGCGCUGCUCGCCGUCAGCUGAGCCUCGCUCAUGCAGCCCCAGAUGGUUGGGCGUGGGUGGGAAGGCACCCCCAGCACCCCCAGCACCCUGCCCGGGGCUGCAGCAGGGGACAGCAGGAGGCUGGGACACCGAGAGUGUCACUCAGACAUCGGUGUCCUCGGGACUCGCCCGGGCUGGGCCCAGCAGCGGAGGUUUGGGGCUCUGGUGGUGUCUCACACUCAAAUCUGUGUUUGCAGCGCUUCCAGCAAUUUGGCAAAGAGUUCUCCUCCCCCGAAAUCCGGGAGGAAAAGCGAUGUGGCACCGAGGGAGAGGGGCAAAGCUGUCACCAGCGGCUUCCAGGUCACCCCAGGAAGGAUCCUGGGCACCUCUGCAGUGGGGUCAGGGGGCAGGAGCUCGGGGCAUCCCUGCCAGGGGAGAACCAACACUCGGCUCUCCUCAAUUCCCAGCUGUUUCCACCAGAAGCAACAAAAUGAAGCUUGUAAAUCCUCCAGCCCUUAAAUCCCGCAAAUCCAGGCUGCAGCCUUGCAGGAGCAGCGACUGCAGUGGCACCAAGGUCCGUCCUCCCGUGCCCAGGAGGGCACAGCCCGGAGAUUUCCCUCCGCAGAGCCCCGGUGAGGAUGUCAGGGCACAAAGGGACGUUUGUUGACAGAAACGCACAGGGAUCAAUCUGCAUUCGUGCCCCACCCCACUGCGUUGGUCUCCAAAUGCUUCUGCAGGGCUGGAAGGAGAUGAGCUUUAAAGUCCCUUCUAACCCAAACCA